GUUGAAACACUAGUUCCCGCACGAUCACUGAAGUUAAGCAAUAUCACGCCACGUCAGUACCUAUAUAGGUGACUGCUUGGGAAUAUCAGAUGCUGA